GUCUAUGACCAUACCACCCUGAACACACCCAAUCUUGGAAACUAAGCAGGGUCAGGCCUGGUUAGUACUUGGAUGGGAGACCACCUGGGAAUACCGGGUGCUAUAGGCU
rnacentral:rRNA from 1 species